AAUAGAUACCCUGGUAGUCCACGCCGUAAACGAUGAGUGCUAAGUGUUAGGGGGUUUCCGCCCCUUAGUGCUGCAGCUAACGCAUUAAGCACUCCGCCUGGGGAGUACGGUCGCAAGACUGAAACUCAAAGGAAUUGACGGGGGCCCGCACAAGCGGUGGAGCAUGUGGUUUAAUUCGAAGCAACGCGAAGAACCUUACCAGGUCUUGACAUCCCGCUGACCGCUAUGGAGACAUAGCUUUCCCUUCGGGGACAGCGGUGACAGGUGGUGCAUGGUUGUCGUCAGCUCGUGUCGUGAGAUGUUGGGUUAAGUCCCGCAACGAGCGCAACCCUUGUCCUUAGUUGCCAUCAUUCAGUUGGGCACUCUAAGGAGACUGCCGUACAAAUACGGAGGAAGGUGGGGAUGACGUCAAAUCAUCAUGCCCCUUAUGACCUGGGCUACACACGUGCUACAAUGGACGGUACAAACGGUUGCGAAGUCGCGAGACGGAGCCAAUACGAGAAAGCCGUUCUCAGUUCGGAUUGCAGG
rnacentral:rRNA from 1 species